UGUGGGUGGCGAGUGGCGGACGGGUGAGGAAUGCGUCGGAAUCUGCCUUUUUGUGGGGGAUAACGUAGGGAAACUUACGCUAAUACCGCAUACGACCUACGGGUGAAAGCCGGGGACCUUCGGGCCUGGCGCAGAAGGAUGAGCCGACGCCGGAUUAGCUUGUUGGUGGGGUAAUGGCCUACCAAGGCGACGACGGGUAGCCGGCCUGAGAGGGUGACCGGCCACACUGGGACUGAGACACGGCCCAGACUCCUACGGGAGGCAGCAGUGGGGAAUAUUGCACAAUGGGCGAAAGCCUGAUGCAGCGACGCCGCGUGCGGGAUGACGGCCUUCGGGUUGUAAACCGCUUUCAGCUCUGACGAAGCUUUUGUGACGGUAGGAGCAGAAGAAGCACCGGCUAACUACGUGCCAGCAGCCGCGGUAAUACGUAGGGUGCGAGCGUUGUCCGGAAUUAUUGGGCGUAAAGAGCUUGUAGGCGGCUUGUCGCGUCUGCUGUGAAAACCCGGGGCUUAACCCCGGGCUUGCAGUGGGUACGGGCAGGCUAGAGUGUGGUAGGGGGAGACUGGAAUUCCUGGUGUAGCGGUGGAAUGCGCAGAUAUCAGGAGGAACACCGAUGGCGAAGGCAGGUCUCUGGGCCAUGACUGACGCUGAGAAGCGAAAGCGUGGGGAGCGAACAGGAUUAGAUACCCUGGUAGUCCACGCCGUAAACGUUGGGCGCUAGGUGUGGGUCCCAUUCCACGGGGUCCGUGCCGCAGCUAACGCAUUAAGCGCCCCGCCUGGGGAGUACGGCCGCAAGGCUAAAACUCAAAGGAAUUGACGGGGGCCCGCACAAGCGGCGGAGCAUGCGGAUUAAUUCGAUGCAACGCGAAGAACCUUACCAAGGCUUGACAUGUACCGGAAACCCUCGGAGACGGGGGCCCCGCAAGGCUGGUACACAGGUGGUGCAUGGUUGUCGUCAGCUCGUGUCGUGAGAUGUUGGGUUAAGUCCCGCAACGAGCGCAACCCUCGUUCUAUGUUGCCAGCACGUGAUGGUGGGGACUCAUAGGAGACUGCCGGGGUCAACUCGGAGGAAGGUGGGGAUGACGUCAAAUCAUCAUGCCCCUUACGUCUUGGGCUUCACGCAUGCUACAAUGGCCGGUACAGAGGGCUGCUAAGCCGCGAGGCGGAGCGAAUCCCUUAAAGCCGGUCUCAGUUCGGAUUGGGGUCUGCAACUCGACCCCAUGAAGUCGGAGUCGCUAGUAAUCGCAGAUCAG
rnacentral:rRNA from 1 species